rnacentral:rRNA from 1 species
GAUGAACGCUGGCGGCGUGCCUAAUACAUGCAAGUCGAGCGAACAGACGAGGAGCUUGCUCCUCUGACGUUAGCGGCGGACGGGUGAGUAACACGUGGAUACCCUACCUAUAAGACUGGGAUAACUUCGGGAAACCGGAGCUAAUACCGGAUAACAUGUUGAACCGCAUGGUUCACCAGUGAAAGACGGUCUUGCUGUCACUUAUAGAUGGAUCCGCGCCGCAUUAGCUAGUUGGUAAGGUAACGGCUUACCAAGGCAACGAUGCGUAGCCGACCUGAGAGGGUGAUCGGCCACACUGGAACUGAGACACGGUCCAGACUCCUACGGGAGGCAGCAGUAGGGAAUCUUCCGCAAUGGGCGAAAGCCUGACGGAGCAACGCCGCGUGAGUGAAGAAGGUCUUCGGAUCGUAAAACUCUGUUAUUAGGGAAGAACAAAUGUGUAAGUAACUAUGCACGUCUUGACGGUACCUAAUCAGAAAGCCACGGCUAACUACGUG